AAUAAAAAUAUCCAGAAAAGUGAAUAAGAGAGACACAGAUAAUGACCAUAUUGGUCCUAAUUGAAAAUAAUUUUGAUCUAAAAAAGUUUAAAAACCAAAGAGAAAAGAGUCGAGAACGUUUGUUUGAAAAAAUGGCAAUUAAUGACGUUACAUUAGUGGCAUGCAUGUACACCGAUGGUUCGGACAAUCGAACCUGAAAGAAAGGCCAAUCAGUAGAAUGGGUCUUCCUUUAAAAAGAUCUACAUACUUAAAAAAAAUUGAAGCAUUUGGAAUGGUAAUUCCAAUCAUUUACUUAAAUCAGAACAAUUCACUGCAGUUACGCUUGAAAACUAAAGGAAUUACAGUUGCUUCAAAUUGAAUGGCGACAGUUCUUUAUGCAGGGGAUGCAUGGAAGCAGAAGAAACGCAAUAGCAUAUGCUUCCAGAGUGUAUGAGCGUGGCGGAACAACGGGAAGAAAUUCUCCUAUCACCAGAAUCGUUCCCGAAUGCCUGCAGUAGUCUGAAAAGGCUGCUAUAAUUCUGGGACAGUCUGGGCAGGUUAUUCCAAUCAAGAGGUCAACUGCGCAAACAGCUAGUACAAACAGUAGUUUGACUGACAAACUAAUUUAAGACGAAAUAUUUAUGUUUUUCGAUACAUUUGGGAGUUUAUAAUAAAAUAUAAUUCAUUACUAUUAUGAGAGAUUUAGCAAUAAAUGACUUUGAAAUUUCAA